CUAGCGUUCUACUAUAUUUUUGUUCGGCUGAAUAUGUCAGCGUAAAUCAGGGAAAUUCUAUGCCACACAUCCCUUUGUACAUGGUAGUGCUGAAUUUAUUUGCCCAGUCCAAUGCGAGGGCUUUUCAGUUAUCAGGUCAUUCAUGAUUCUUCCAUAACGUGUUGUUGCCACAGCUAGAGAUAUUCUUGCAGAUGUAGACUCUGACAGCUUCACCCAUAAAUGCACCUAAAUAACCUUGAACAACUAUGAACUUAGAGGCACAGAAGUUUUCAAGAAGAUCGAUAUUGGUUUGUAGUAUAUCAUUCUGCUAAUGCAUUCACCGUAAGGGGAAGAGAAAAUUCCUUAUAUAACACUGUUUUAAAUAUUGUUUCCUUAUUUGACACUGAAAACUUUUUUCUUCCUUAUGUAACACCAUGUCUAAAUUUUAUGUCCUUUAUGACACUUCCAUCCAUUUUAAGCCUUAACGGUGUCAAAUGACACCUGAAAAGACCAAUUUGCCCCUCAUUGGGUAUGUGACCAAAAAAUUUACGUUGUUGUUUAGCUUCAAUAUGUGACUUUAUUUGGAUGGUGUUCGACGUGAUUUUGUACCAAAGAGAAUUUAAUUACUGACAAAUAAAAUGAAUGCAGAAUAUACAGUGAAGCAAACAUGCACAAGUACAUGCAUGCGGUAUCUCAUCUUUGAUUAGUUUUGCACGUACAUAACUAGAAUACUAGGCCCGUAAGGGAUUCAAUUACCUGGGUUUUUGGAACUUUUUUUUACUGCCCUUGUUUGAGCGACACGUGUGCACGGUGGUUUCACUAUUGAUUUCAUCUUUUGCUUGGUGGGGUUGUUUAGGCACGUUUGGUUCUGUGCGCCGUUGCCAUGACAGGUGUCCUUGUGAGGUUGACUGCCUAUUCCAUCGAUGGACACGUUGCCUUCUGGGCUUUUCUGGUGGGUCUCACGUUACCUUGAGCGGUGGUCUUUCAGAUAUUUUAUUGAGUCUCCUCUCGCGCGAAGACUCGAGACGAGUGUGGUGCCACCGGUUGGCCGCCGUAUAUGCCUAUAAAAGGGGUCUUCUCCUUCGUGGCGGUCGCUGCCUCGCCUCCUCGAUCGCCUCCUCGCCCUACUGUCCCAUCUACCCUAGCCUUUCAACUCCGAUCUUUUGUCCGUGUGGAGCUGGUGGCAGGCGUACGGCCAAGGAGACGAAGCAACGGCGGCGUGCCACCGCCACCUCCGAUGCACAGCAGCCACGGCACCACCGGCACAAGAUUCACUUGGGGAGCACAACCGUCGAGCAAGAGAGGCCCACCGGCCAUGGCCGACCGGACAGAUUAGAGGCGAGGUGGAUUCUGCCGGCAAGGCCCUCUUCCUUUUCUCAUGUUCUGCGUGAUCUGAGGCGGGAGGCGUUGAAUCCUUCCCGAUUGGCCUUCUUCCUCCUCGAUUUGGCCCUUCUUUCCGGCCUCCGCUCAUCUCCGGCCCGUUAUCGUUCGGUUCCCGUGACCCGUCCACCCAUGGAAGACCGCGGCCCCGCAUCCUCUGAACGUCGCAGUUCUUCUCCAUGAAGACUGUGCCCUUCAUAGUCCGACGGGGCUUCGUGCUCUUCCUGCACGAGGAAAAUAGCAUAUGGUGUCGUCCAUGGCGUCUCGCUAACUCUAGCACGUCAGAGAUGACGGGCCACCUGACAACGAGCUCAAUUGCUCUGAACUUCAGCCUGCAUUGCUUGGACCUUUUUAUUCAGAUGUCCAAUUCUUAUUUUCUGAUGUGUUGUGUGAAGGUUUAUGGUGAGGAGAGGAGAAGUGGUCGUUCGGGUUCUGCGAGAAUGGCAUGUGUGCAGGUAACUCGGAAAUUCCGGAUUUCGGUAUUCUAUUUACAUCCGAGAGGAGGAGAAGAAGUGUUGCACGGUCAUAUUUUAUUUCAGAGUUAAUAUUCCAUAAUUGUAUGAUGAAUUGAACCUGAACAUUGAAAGUGGCACUUGCAAAACACAAAUUUUCAGUUUUGAUUGAUACUUUAUGAAAGAAUAUGUUGGCGGACAUGGCAAUACAGUUUCAUAUCGAAAACCACUCCGAUUGAAGUAUCUGUGGUUCAUGUACAGUAUUGUUUGAUAAAUUGGUGGCAAAUAGCUGUGUGAGCUUCAUUUGGUCAGGUUGUUUCGACUGCAUGAUGCAUGAGACAUGGAUUCCUAAGGAUUGUUCAAGUGCAUUCAGUGUUAACAGAUGGAACACAGAUUAGCCUUGGCCACAAUGAGCAGGUGAGUCUUAUCAUCUUGCAUCUUCGUUACAUCUCAUGCAUCACUCUCUUUUUUAUUUCCUUGUCUCCUCUGAUUUCUUAGAAAAGAACCAUAUGUUGUUACUUGAAAGAGGCAAAGGUCUCAAAGAUCUCAAAGUUCCUUCUUCAUUUUUGAGGUUGGCAGUCCUAAACUUCACACAAGUAUGUUCUCUUGUGUCCACAGAAGGAGUACAAUAUGGGUGACUGCAGGUACGUCCCCAGGGACACCGCUACGUCACUGUUGAAGGAAUCACAGUUGUGCUGGAAGGUCCUGCCUUCCUGCUUGCUGUGUCUGCCUUCUCAUCUUAUUUUAUGAUCGUUUAUAUGAAGAAGCAGCAGCAACUUGAUUUUGUUUUCUUGCGUAGUAAUAUGUGAGCUGCAUUUGCAGACAUAUAUGGGUCAAGUCACUCUUUGUUAGUUAGAUGUUGUUAGUGUUUUUCUAUCAGACAUGGUUCUGCAAUGGGGUUGACUGCCUAAGGCUCACUCAGAUUUUGGACUUGCUUAAUAACUGCUUCCUUUCAUUAAGAUGUGAGGUCCUGAUCCCAAUGACAGAGCAUCAUCGCCCUCUGAACUAAUGUUCAUGCGAGUUCAUUGUUUGAUUUUGUUGAACCAUGCAAGUUCAAAAUUUGAUGAAGCCAUGCAACUGGUAGAUGAAUCAACAAAGCAUAUAUUUGCAGUGUUCCGAAGUACCGUGUUCCUUCUUUACUCAAUAAAAUUUAGUGUUGCAUUUGCCUGGUAUAAGAAAGAUAGCGCAAUGCCGACAGAUAGAGCUUUAUUUGCCGGGUAUUAAUUUACACAUAGCAGGCUGAGGAGAACACAGAUACACGGCCAGCUGCGCGGAUUAGCCGAUGGAACCAAUAACAGGGGAAAGGACGGAAAAUAGGAAGGAGACGGUCAGAUUGGCAGCUAAUCAAUUGUUUUUAGGCAGCACUAGAGAAUUAAUGAAUGCAUGAUGUACAAUUUUCUCUGAUUUUCUAACAAAUGUGAAAUGUUGCUCAACUAAUAUUUCAGAUGUAAAUUAAUAUUCAGUCGCAGAAAUUGAUA